rnacentral:rRNA from 1 species
GAUCCUGGCUCAGGAUGAACGCUAGCUACAGGCUUAACACAUGCAAGUCGCGGGGUAACGAUCUGGUAGAGCUUGCUCUUCCAGGAUGACGACCGGCGCACGGGUGAGUAACGCGUAUCCAACCUGGCCCAUACCACGGGAUAGCCCGUCGAAAGGCGGAUUAAUACCGUAUGCUGUCAUUAAGAUGCAUAUAUUGAUGACGAAAGGACUGGCGGUAUGGGAUGGGGAUGCG